UUAGAUAUUAGGUGAUAUGGGCUCUGUCC
rnacentral:piRNA from 1 species